AGUGAACGCUGGCGGCAGGCCUAAUACAUGCAAGUCGAACGGCAGCACAGCAGAGCUUGCUCUGUGGGUGGCGAGUGGCGGACGGGUGAGGAAUACAUGGGAAUCUGCCCAGUCGUGGGGGAUAACGUAUGGAAACGUACGCUAAUACCGCAUGCGCCCUACGGGGGAAAGUCGGGGACCGCAAGGCCUGACGCGAUUGGAUGAGCCCAUGUUCGAUUAGCUAGUUGGCGGGGUAAAGGCCCACCAAGGCGACGAUCGAUAGCUGGCCUGAGAGGAUGAUCAGCCACACUGGAACUGAGACACGGUCCAGACUCCUACGGGAGGCAGCAGUAGGGAAUAUUGGACAAUGGGGGCAACCCUGAUCCAGCCAUGCCGCGUGAGUGAAGAAGGCCCUCGGGUUGUAAAGCUCUUUUGUCCGGAAAGAAAGCAAUCGGUUAAUACCCGGUUGUUCUGACGGUACCGGAAGAAUAAGCACCGGCUAACUUCGUGCC
rnacentral:rRNA from 1 species